CGAUGCGAGGGCAAUCUGGCUGCGACAUCUGUCACCCUAUUGAUCGCCAGGGUUGAUCUGGCCGAUCUGGCUGGCUAGGUGGGUGUCCUUUUCCUCCCUCACCACUCAUGCGCCUCUCUCCCCAAGCUGCCUGUGCACUCAGUCAGGGAAGAUGACCUUCCCGGAUAGAAGAGGACCAUUCUUUGGUCAAGGGUAUAGGAGUAGCUGCGCUCCCCGGCUAGAACCUCCAAACAAUCUCUCCCUGGCUGGUGCCAUUUCCCAUUCCCACCCGUCACCAUUUGCAGGAGGAUGUAGGGUCAUCCAGCUGCCAAGACUCUGGGCGUAUCCAGAUGAGGCGCUGCAUGUGGCGGUCUGCCUUUCUUU
ensembl:misc_RNA 7SK 7SK RNA